UCUCCUUCCAAGCACUACUUCCUCUUUCCACAAACUAUUUUCUCCUUAGCCUGUCUGACACUUGGACUGCACUAAAAUAAUCAUCAUUUCACUCAUUUAAUACAUGAAUGCUUGAUCUUUGUAAGAAAGAAAAACAAUCAGUCAAACAUGCAGUUUAAUAAAAAGAAAACAAUCAAUUUAAAUACACAAUUAAAGAGCUCUUUAUGUUAUCUUUUUUAUGUAAUACCUUUAAUUUCCAAAUUAUCUCUUAAUUUGUGAAUGGUAGAGAAUAUGGUUGAGCUCACUACACCACCGAUUUUAGAGGUAUUUUGACACCCCCUUCUUGAGGUCAACCAGAUUCGACAGCCAAGGUCCCUGCAGGACCCCAGAACAGUCCAUCCAGAGUUUUCAGUUAACCAUAUGAAUCAAACCCUUAAGAUUGUGACUCCCCACUCAAAACAAUUGACCUUACCCUAGGGAAAUUAAUGUUACAUGAUUAUAAAAUUGAAGAGAAAAAAUCUUGGCAG